GUGCCCACUUCAGCAGCACAUAUACGAAACUUGGAACUCUACAGAGAAGAUUAGCAUGGCCCCUUCACAGGAUGACAUGUAACUUUAGGAAGUGUUCCAUGUCUUU